UCUAAAAUUGUGAUAAAGAAAUAAGUAAUAAAGUGAAUCUUGUUUUAUUCAUAGUGAUUAAUUUACUACCCAAAGUCAGUUGGAACAACCUGGUGAAGUUUUGAAAAGGCAACAUUGACCUGAAAUUCACAUAAUUUACUUAAUUACGAAUAAAUACAUUAAAAUUGUAACUACACUAUUAGCUUGAAAUCAGAAAAUCUAAAAAAAUAAUUCGCUUACUGAUUGAACACGACGUCUCUCUCGUGCGUUUCGUCGAGCUACUUGAAACGCUGGACGGACGCUGUGAGAAACUUACGUUCCUGCUCCGUGGGCGCCAAUAUCAUCCGAAUAAUGAGUAGCAGAUGAUCCAUUGCUGUACGGACGGAAGUUCUCUUCUUGUGUACCCAGCGACGCAGAAUUCCAGUUUAAUUCAGGUAAAGUGUAAAUUUAGUGAAAAUAUUUUUACCAGUAACGAACGACGAGGUAGGAUAUGGUAGAACUUGUUGAUCGGACAUCGCAAGACUCUUCUAGUCGUGAUGAGUUAGUUGUACAUCCUUUUUUAGGCGAAAUGUUUCAUUAACCAGCGGAUCUUACUGUCGACUGGACAACAAAUGAUAUACUUAUCGAUCGCUCCACUUGUUUUUAUCCGUUAAGGCAUAAUGGAGGAAGAGGGGAAGACGGAUCGUUAACAGGCGGAAGUGAUAUUUUUGUUUGCACCUGGCUUACCAGCAUGAAUCUCCCUCUUCUUUGAAACGUAUUCCCUCUUAAUUUCAUUUUCGUUUAUUUCGUUUCUGUGCGGUAAGAACCAUAAUGCAAUUGUUUUCUUUUGUUUGCCAUUGUUAAACACAUCUGAAUAAUACGCGGCACGAUCGUUAAGUACGAAAUGUUCUUAUUAACGACUGUUUUGCGUUUAAACAUUUGUUAAAUACAGAACUCUGUUCAUGCGGCAUUAA